rnacentral:rRNA from 1 species
GAGUUUGAUCCUGGCUCAGGGUGAACGCUGGCAGUAUACUUUACACAUGCUAGUUUAAUGUUUUUUUACAUAGCGUACGGGUGAGUAAUACAUAAGAAUCUACCCUAAAAAAAAAGAUAAACGUCUCUUUUAUAUAAAAAAGAAAAUACUUAUGUAGCGUGAAUACUUUUGGUAAAAUACUGAUUUAGGAUGAGCUUACGCAGGAUUAGGUAGUUGGUGGGGUAAAUGCUUACCAAGCCAAAGAUCCUUAGCUGAUUUGAGAGAAUGAUCAGCCACACUGGGACUGAGAUAAGGCCCAGGCUUAUUUAGCCAGCAGUGGGGAAUAUUAGACAAUGGGCGAAAGCUUGAUCUGGUGAUACUGCGUAAAUGAUGACGGCACAAAAGAUUUAUAAUAAAAUUAUAAAUCGGUUGUAAAGUUUGUUAUUUGGUUUAAAAUUAUGAUUUACCAAGGAAAGUCCCGGCUAACUUCGUGCCAGCAGCCGCGGUAAUACGAAGGGGGCUAGCGUUAUCCGGAAUAAUUGGGCGUAAAGGGUUCUAAGAUUGUUAAUUAUUUUUUAAGUUAAAUUUUAGGAUAAUCUCCUAAAAAGCUUAAAGUACUUUUUAACUUGAGUAUAAGAGAGGAUAACAGAAUAUUAUAAUUAGGAGUAAAAUCCAUUUGGUUAUAAUAGAAUGCCAUUUGCGAAAGCGGUUAUCUGGAUUAUUACUGACAUUGACGAACGAAAGUGUAGGGAGCGAACAGGAUUAGAUACCCUGGUAGUCUACACUGUCAAAGAUGAAUGUUAAAAGUAGGGAAUAUUUUCUCUGUUUUAAAGCUAACGCGUUAANCAUUCCGCCUGGGGGAGUACGAUCGCAAGAUUGGAACUCAAAGGAAUUGAUGGGGAUCUAUACAAGUGGUGGAGCAUGUGGUUUAAUGCGAUAAUACACGCAAAUCUUACCAGUUUUUGAAUAUUACUUAUUAACAAUUUUAUUUUUGUUAUUUUUUAAUUUAAUGUUUAAUAGGCAUUAUUUAUAAUAAAGUUAUACAGGUACUGCAUGGCUGUCGUCAGCUCGUGCUGUGAAGUGUUUGGUUAAUUCCUUUAACGAGCGAAACUCUUAUCUUAUUUUGGUAUUCUUUUUUUGAAAAAUUAAAGAACAACUAUUAAGAAACUGCCCGUAAUAAAUGGGAGGAAGGUGAGAAUCAAGUCAAGUCUUUAUGGUCCUUAUAAACUGGGCUACACACGUGCUACAAUGACAUUAACAAAAAGUUACACAAGAAAGCAAUUUCAAGUGAAUCUUUAAAAAUUGUCAAUUCGGAUUGAAGGCUGUAAUUCGCCUUUAUGAAGUUGGAAUCACAAGUAAUCGUAAAUAAGCAUGUUACGGUGAAAAUGUACUUAGAUCUUAUACACACCGCCCGUCACAUGCUCGAAGUGAAUUUGCUAUGAAGUUAUUUUAUUAUUAUUUUUUCAAUAUUAUCUUUUAUAUAACGAUAAUAUGUAUUUUAAAAAAUAAUAUCUAAAAUAAUUAGUGGUAAAUUUGUAACUAGGAUGAAGUCGUACACAAGGUAGCCG